GAUGAACGCUGGCGGCGUGCCUAAUACAUGCAAGUCGAGCGAACGGACGAGAAGCUUGCUUCUCUGAUGUUAGCGGCGGACGGGUGAGUAACACGUGGAUAACCUACCUAUAAGACUGGGAUAACUUCGGGAAACCGGAGCUAAUACCGGAUAAUAUUUUGAACCGCAUGGUUCAAAAGUGAAAGACGGUCUUGCUGUCACUUAUAGAUGGAUCCGCGCUGCAUUAGCUAGUUGGUAAGGUAACGGCUUACCAAGGCAACGAUGCAUAGCCGACCUGAGAGGGUGAUCGGCCACACUGGAACUGAGACACGGUCCAGACUCCUACGGGAGGCAGCAGUAGGGAAUCUUCCGCAAUGGGCGAAAGCCUGACGGAGCAACGCCGCGUGAGUGAUGAAGGUCUUCGGAUCGUAAAACUCUGUUAUUAGGGAAGAACAUAUGUGUAAGUAACUGUGCACAUCUUGACGGUACCUAAUCAGAAAGCCACGGCUAACUACGUGCCAGCAGCCGCGGUAAUACGUAGGUGGCAAGCGUUAUCCGGAAUUAUUGGGCGUAAAGCGCGCGUAGGCGGUUUUUUAAGUCUGAUGUGAAAGCCCACGGCUCAACCGUGGAGGGUCAUUGGAAACUGGAAAACUUGAGUGCAGAAGAGGAAAGUGGAAUUCCAUGUGUAGCGGUGAAAUGCGCAGAGAUAUGGAGGAACACCAGUGGCGAAGGCGACUUUCUGGUCUGUAACUGACGCUGAUGUGCGAAAGCGUGGGGAUCAAACAGGAUUAGAUACCCUGGUAGUCCACGCCGUAAACGAUGAGUGCUAAGUGUUAGGGGGUUUCCGCCCCUUAGUGCUGCAGCUAACGCAUUAAGCACUCCGCCUGGGGAGUACGACCGCAAGGUUGAAACUCAAAGGAAUUGACGGGGACCCGCACAAGCGGUGGAGCAUGUGGUUU
rnacentral:rRNA from 1 species